rnacentral:rRNA from 1 species
UACAGAGGUCUCAAGCGUUGUUCGGAUUCAUUGGGCGUAAAGGGUGCGUAGGUGGCGGGUUAAGUCAGGUGUGAAAUCUCGGGGCUCAACCCCGAAACUGCACUUGAUACUGCCUUGCUCGAGUACUGGAGAGGAGAUUGGAAUUUACGGUGUAGCGGUGAAAUGCGUAGAUAUCGUAAGGAAGACCAGUGGCGAAGGCGGGUCUCUGGACAGUUCCUGACGCUGAGGCACGAAGGUCAGGGGAGCAAACGGG